CACGUAGGGCGCAAGCGUUGUCCGGAAUUAUUGGGCGUAAAGAGCUCGUAGGCGGUUUGUCGCGUCUGCUGUGAAAACCUAAGGCUCAACCUUGGGCCUGCAGUGGGUACGGGCAGACUAGAGUGCGGUAGGGGUGACUGGAAUUCCUGGUGUAGCGGUGGAAUGCGCAGAUAUCAGGAGGAACACCGGUGGCGAAGGCGGGUCUCUGGGACGGUACUGACGCUGAGACGCGAAAGCGUGGGGAGCGAACAGG
rnacentral:rRNA from 1 species